rnacentral:rRNA from 1 species
UACGUAGGUGGCAAGCGUUGUCCGGAUUUACUGGGCGUAAAGGGCGUGCAGGCGGUUGUUAAGUGCAGGGUGAAAGCUCCCGGCUCAACUGGGAGAGGUCCUUGCAUACUGGCAAACUCGAGGGAGGCAGAGGAAAGUGGAAUUCCCGGUGUAGUGGUGAUACGCGUAGAUAUCGGGAGGAACACCUGUGGCGAAGGCGGCUUCUGGGC